rnacentral:rRNA from 1 species
AUUGAACGCUGGCGGCAGGCCUAACACAUGCAAGUCGAACGAGUGGCGGACGGGUGAGUAAUGUCUGGGAAACUGCCUGAUGGAGGGGGAUAACUACUGGAAAUGGUAGCUAAUACCGCAUACCAUCAGAUGUGCCCAGAUGGGAUUCGCUUGUGGGUGUGGUAACGGCUCACCAAGGCGACGAUCCCUAGCUGGUCUGAGAGGAGUACCCGCCAGACUGGAACUGAGACACGGGCCCGACUCCUAGGGGAGGCGGCAGUGGGGAAUAUUGCAAAAGGGGGGCAAGCCUGAUGCAGACAGGCCGCGUGUAUGAAGAAGGCCUUCGGGUUGUAAAGUACUUUCAGCGGGGAGGCGUUACCCGCAGAAGAAGCAACGGCUAACUCCGUGCCAGCAGCCGCGGUAAUUC